rnacentral:rRNA from 1 species
AGUAAUAUAUCGGAACGUACCUAGUAAUGGGGGAUAACUAUCCGAAAGGAUAGCUAAUACCGCAUACGCCCUGAGGGGGAAAGAGGGGAUCGCAAGACCUCUCGUUAUUAGAGCGGCCGAUAUCAGAUUAGCUAGUUGGUGAGGUAAAGGCUCACCAAGGCAACGAUCUGUAGCGGGUCUUAGAGGACGAUCCGCCACACUGGAACUGAGACACGGUCCAGACUCCUACGGGAGGCAGCAGUGGGGAAUCUUGGACAAUGGGCGCAAGCCUGAUCCAGCAAUGCCGCGUGCGUGAAGAAGGCCUUCGGGUUGUAAAGCGCUUUGUUCGGGAGGAAAUCCUAGUGGCUAAUAUCCAUGGGGAUGACAGUACCGGAAGAAUAAGGACCGGCUAACUACGUGCCAGCAGCCGCGGUAAUACGUAGGGUCCAAGCGUUAAUCGGAAUUACUGGGCGUAAAGGGUGCGCAGGUGGUUGAUUAAGUGUGAUGUGAAAGCCCCGGGCUCAACCUGGGAAUUGCAUUGCAAACUGGUCAACUAGAGUAUGGCAGAGGGGGGUGGAAUUCCGCGUGUAGCAGUGAAAUGCGUAGAGAUGCGGAGGAACACCGAUGGCGAAGGCAACCCCCUGGGCUAAUACUGACACUCAUGCACGAAAGCGUGGGGAGCAAACAGGAUUAGAUACCCUGGUAGUCCACGCCCUAAACGAUGUCUACUAGUUGUUGGGGAAUUCGUUCCUUAGUAACGCAGCUAACGCGUGAAGUAGACCGCCUGGGGAGUACGGCCGCAAGGCUAAAACUCAAAGGAUUGACGGGGGCCCGCACAAGCGGUGGAUGAUGUGGAUUAAUUCGAUGCAACGCGAAAAACCUUACCUAGCCUUGACAUGUCAAGAAUCCCUGAAGAUUGGGGAGUGCCGCAAGGAACUUGAACACAGGUGCUGCAUGGCUGUCGUCAGCUCGUGUCGUGAGAUGUUGGGUUUAAGUCCCGCAACGAGCGCAACCCUUGUCCUUAGUUGCUACCAUUUAGUUGGGCACUUUAAGGAGACUGCCGGUGACAAACCGGAGGAAGGUGGGGAUGACGUCAAGUCCUCAUGGCCCUUAUGGCUAGGGCUUCACACGUCAUACAAUGGUCGGUACAGAGGGUUGCCAAGCCGCGAGGUGGAGCUAAUCUCAUAAAACCGAUCGUAGUCCGGAUUGGAGUCUGCAACUCGACUCCAUGAAGUCGGAAUCGCUAGUAAUCGCGGAUCAGCAUGUCGCGGUGAAUACGUUCCCGGGCCUUGUACACACCGCCCGUCACACCAUGGGAAUGGGUUUCACCAGAAGUAGGUAGGCUAACCGUAAGGAGGCCGCUUACCACGGUGGGAUUCAUGACUGGGGUGAAGUCGUAACAAGGUAGCCGUAGGGGAACCUGCGGCUGGAUCACCU